rnacentral:rRNA from 1 species
GACGAACGCUGGCGGCGUGCUUAACACAUGCAAGUCGAACGGAGCGAAUGAAAGCUUGCUUUUAUGAGCUUAGUGGCAAACGGGUGAGUAACACGUAGACAACCUGCCGACAGGAUGGGGACAACAUUCCGAAAGGAAUGCUAAUACCGAAUGAAGUCGAGGGAAGGCAUCCUCCUUCGAUGAAAGAUGGCCUCUUCUUAUGCUAUCACCUGUUGAUGGGUCUGCGUCUGAUUAGCUGGUAGGUGAGGUAACGGCUCACCUAGGCGACGAUCAGUAGCCGGUCUGAGAGGAUGAACGGCCACAUUGGGACUGAGACACGGCCCAGACUCCUACGGGAGGCAGCAGUGGGGAAUCUUCCGCAAUGGGCGCAAGCCUGACGGAGCAACGCCGCGUGAGUGAAGAAGGUCUUCGGAUCGUAAAGCUCUGUUGACGGGGACGAACGUGCGUGAUGCGAACAGUGUCAUG